rnacentral:misc_RNA from 1 species
AAAAUGCGAUAAGUAAUGUGAAUUACAGAAUUCAGUGAAUCAUCGAAUCUUUGAACGCACAUUGCGCCCGCCAGUAUUCUGGCGGGCAUGCCUGUCUGAGCGUCAUUUCAACCCUCGGGACCCCGUUCGCGGGACCCGGCGUUGGGGAUCAGCCCGAAGCCCCCAGGGCGGGCGGCUGGCCCCGAAAUCUAGUGGCGGUCCCCCCAGCGACCUCCUCUGCGCAGUAGUAACUCACCUCGCAGCUGGACAGCGGGAGGGCCACGCCGUAAAACCCCCAACUUCUCAAAGGUUGACCUCAGAUCAGGUAGGAAUACCCGCUGAACUUAAGC